rnacentral:rRNA from 1 species
GACGAACGCUGGCGGCGUGCCUAACACAUGCAAGUCGAACGGAGCAGAUCCCUUCGGGGGUUUGCUCAGUGGCGAACGGGUGAGUAACGCGUGAGGAACCUGCCUUUCAGUGGGGGACAACAGUUGGAAACAGCUGCUAAUACCGCAUGAUGCAACGGAAUCGCAUGACUCUGUUGCCAAAGAUUUAUCGCUCUGAGAUGGCCUCGCGUCUGAUUAGCUAGUUGGCGGGGUAACGGCCCACCAAGGCGACGAUCAGUAGCCGGACUGAGAGGUUGGCCGGCCACAUUGGGACUGAGACACGGCCCAG